GAAAUGUUACUAUGCAACAAAAACAAAUAAUAAUAUGUUAUUUAUUUGUUAUUGAUUGAUCGUUCACGCGAGAGAUACAUACAGACGAGGAGUUAACAUUAUAUAUUGGAAUUAAGACAUUUAUUAUAUUAGAAUAUAUCAAAGAAUUUCGUAUUGCAAUUCGCUGCUUAGAUCGUGAAAAAAAGAGAAUAAAAUUCAAGAUUAAAUAAGACUCAUUAUAUGAAGUGUUUUGGAAUCUUUGAAAGAUACGUAUAAUUAUUCAGGAAAAUUUAUAUACAAAGAUGAAUCAAGAAAAUAAUAUUUCUAAUAAUUCUUCGGAUAAACCCGAAAUUAUGCAUUCUGAAUUAGAAAAUUUAAAUAACUUAACAUUGUUAACUCCCAAUGAAGUUUUCGAUAAUAUUAAAAUUUUUGAUUCAACAAUCGAAAUUGUAGGUUACGUGGAUGGGAUAGAAGCUCCACGUCUUGUAGGUUCGUCAAACCAAUAUAAAGUUUUUAAAUUUUUUUUAAAUAAUGGUUCUGGCAAACGUGUACAAGUCAUUGUUUGGAACGAGGAAAUUGAUCGCAUUGAGAAUUACAUAAAAUCCAACUGUAUUAUACAUUUAGAUGGUGUGCAAGCUCGUACACCUAAAAUAGCUCAUUUUAAUAAUGGCAAUGUGCCUUACGAAUAAUUCAAUCAAACACUGUUAUAUCUUCUUUGGGUAGUUAUAACAUAUCUAUUAAAUCAAAUGUACGAGUCGAAUUUUUGAACGUAAUGAAUACUUCAACGCAUGUCAUUCUGGAAGGAUACAUAAAAACAAAUUUUGCAGCCAUAUAUAAUAACAAAUUAAAUAAAAUAAUAGGAUGUGGUUCUUUAACCGACGGAUAUUCUAAAUUAGAAGUACACAUUAUAAAUUUCGAUGAUAAUAAUUAUAAUGAUUUAAAUUUAUAUAAAGGAGACAAAAUUGAAUUAACUGGAAUAAUGCA